AUUGAACGCUGGCGGCAUGCCUUAACACAUGCAAGUCGAACGGGCACUUCGGUGUCAGUGGCAGACGGGUGAGUAACACGUGGGAACGUACCUCUUGGUUCGGAACAACACAGGGAAACUUGUGCUAAUACCGGAUAAGCCCUUACGGGGAAAGAUUGAUCGCCGAGAGAUCGGCCCGCGUCUGAUUAGCUAGUUGGUAGGGUAACGGCCUACCAAGGCGACGAUCAGUAGCUGGUCUGAGAGGAUGAUCAGCCACAUUGGGACUGAGACACGGCCCAAACUCCUACGGGAGGCAGCAGUGGGGAAUAUUGGACAAUGGGGGCAACCCUGAUCCAGCCAUGCCGCGUGAGUGAUGAAGGCCCUAGGGUUGUAAAGCUCUUUUGUGCGGGAAGAUAAUGACGGUACCGCAAGAAUAAGCCCCGGCUAACUUCGUGCCAGCCGCCGCCGUAA
rnacentral:rRNA from 1 species